GGGAAUAACAGUGAGAAAUCAUUGCUAAUACCACAUAAGCUGAUAAUAUCGCAUGAUAUAGUCAGAAAAGGAGCAAUCCGCUAAUAGAUGGGCUCGCGUCUGAUUAGCUAGUUGGUGGGGCAACGGCCUACCAAGGCGACGAUCAGUAGCCGGACUGAGAGGUUGAACGGCCACAUUGGGACUGAGAUACGGCCCAGACUCCUACGGGAGGCAGCAGUCGGGAAUAUUGCGCAAUGGAGGAAACUCUGACGCAGUGACGCCGCGUAUGGGAAGAAGGUUUUCGGAUUGUAAACCAUUGUCGUUAGGGAAGAAGAAGUGACAGUACCUAAGGAGGAAGCUCCGGCUAACUAUGUGCCAGCAGCCGCGGUAAUACAUAGGGAGCGAGCGUUAUCCGGAUUUAUUGGGUGUAAAGGGUGCGUAGACGGGAAUACAAGUUGGUUGUGAAAUCUCUCGGCUCAACCGAGGAACUGCAACCAAAACUAUAUUUCUUGAGUGCUGGAGAGGAAAGUGGAAUUCCUAGUGUAGCGGUGAAAUGCGUAGAUAUUAGGAGGAACACCAGUGGCGAAGGCGACUUUCUGGACAGUAACUGACGUUGAGGCACGAAAGUGUGGGGAGCAAACAGGAUUAGAUACCCUGGUAGUCCACACCGUAAACGAUGGA
rnacentral:rRNA from 1 species